rnacentral:lncRNA from 1 species
CCCGGUUGGACCACGGCCUCACCGACAUGGCCCCAGCUAAUUGGUAGCUCCUGGGUUCAACCAUCCCGGAAUCAGGGCGUGAGUCCUGGGCUGGGAGAAAAGUCACCCAGGACUACAGUUCCCACAAUGCACUUCAUGGGCCCCUCUCCGUGUUAGUUCUUGGGAAACGCAGUCCAACGUGGGAAAAGCUCACAGACCCAUAGAGGACCAGAGCUUGCCAGCAGUCACCCAGGAUCCUGGUAACCUGACGGUGUGCUCUUGAUGGCCUGUUUAGAAACCAUGUCCAAGAACUAGAGCAUUAACUUGAAGAAAGAGGUUAAGAGCUUUCUCUCCAAUCAUUCCAAAAGUAACGGGCCUUCGCUUCCUCCUUCUACAUAAUUUGUGUCAAAAUAAGAACCUCACUUAGAGAGAGAUUGGACGUUUCUAGAAGGUAUUUUGCUUUCAGGGCCAGGGAGACUUUGCCCCUCCCAGUGUCUGGAAACUUCAAAGGCUGGGUAUCAUCACACACGUCCAGACUAGGAUAAAAUAGGAUGUCUCAGCUGGACAGGAUAGGUAUGGGUUUGCCAGAAGAUUCAGUUAUCAAUUGCAGAGGGAAAAGGCAACAAUCUAU